UCGAAUGGCGCGUUUCACUUUUUCAACCUGACAUCAUUUGGCCACCGAGAGAAGAUCACCAGAGCGGACUUCCGGUGGUUUCGGCGCGCGCACGCGCUUUUACCUGGACAUCACUUUUACAGAGUAAGUUUUAGUUUAGUUUAUUCUGAGGUCAGAAGCAUCAGACUCACAGCUCUCUCUCUGAUGUCGGGUCUUAGGUGGAUUUGUAUGAAGUGCUGGACAGCAGAGUGAAACCAUGGCGAGGAAACCUGGUGCUGUCACGGUUACUGUCUGUGUACACUGAAGGAUGGGAAGUGUUUAAUAUCACACAGACGGUCACCAAAUGGAUUCUCAACAGCAGUACAAAUAACGGCAUCUUGGUUGUUUCAACUUUAACAUCGGGUCACUGGUUGGAGACAACUGUACAGAGUGCGAGAGAAAUGGGCCAUGAGGAAAAUGAUGCCUAUUUGGUUAUCUACUCAGACGAUGGUCGAAGAGGCUCUGGUAAAGGUGAAGGAGUUUCUCCAUCAGGUCAGAACACUGACUCACCCUUAGAGUUCCUCGAGUACAAAAGCUCCCUCCAGGCCGCGGUGCGAAGGCGCAGGAGUACACAUCAAAGGGCAGCUGAAAAUGAGCAUGCUGUAAAUUGUCAAAGAACACCUCUCUAUGUGGACUUUGUAAAACUCGGUUGGUCCGGAUGGAUAAUAUCACCAAGUGGCUACAAUGCAUACCAUUGCACUGGGUCCUGUCCGUUUCCACUCAGUGGAAGCUUACGUGCAACUAACCAUGCCAUUGUGCAAUCCAUAGUAAACACAUUAAAACUGUCCAAAAAAGUGGCAAGGCCAUGCUGUGUACCAGACAACCUUCAACCUAUAAGUCUGUUGUACUUUGACGAUGAGGAAAAUGUUGUUCUCAAACAAUAUGACGAUAUGGUGGCAGGCAGCUGUGGCUGCCACUGAAUGCACUACUGUACAUCACCAUCUGUUGAAUUUUUAAUAUAAUCCAUAGGGAAUGAUAUAGGCGAAUAAAGAGCAGUGUG